GACGAACGCUGGCGGCGUGCCUAACACAUGCAAGUCGAGCGGGGUUGAAGCGAGAGGUAACUCGAGCUUCUACCUAGCGGCGGACGGGUGAGUAACGCGUGGGCAACCUGCCUCAAGGUUUGGGAUAACAGCCCGAAAGGGCUGCUAAUACCGGAUAUGCCUAUGGCCUCGCAUGGGGCUAUGAGCAAAGGGGAAACCCGCCUUGAGAUGGGCCCGCGUCCCAUCAGCUAGUUGGUGAGGUAACAGCUCACCAAGGCGACGACGGGUAGCCGGCCUGAGAGGGUGACCGGCCACACUGGGACUGAGACACGGCCCAGACUCCUACGGGGGGCAGCAGUGGGGGAUCUUGCACAAUGGGCGAAAGCCUGAUGCAGCGACGCCGCGUGAGCGAAGAAGGCCUUCGGUUGUAAAGCUCUGUCUGGAGGGACGAACAAAAUAGAACGGUACCUCCGGACGGAAGCCACGGCUAACUAACGUGCCAGCAGCCGCGGUAAUCA
rnacentral:rRNA from 1 species